rnacentral:rRNA from 1 species
CGACCGCUGGCGGCGUGCCUAAUACAUGCACGUAGAACGCUGAAGGAGGAGCUUGCUUCUCCGGAUGAGUUGCGAACGGGUGAGUAACGCGUAGGUAACCUGCCUGGUAGCGGGGGAUAACUAUUGGAAACGAUAGCUAAUACCGCAUAAGAGUAGAUGUCGCAUGACAUUUGCUUAAAAGGUGCAACUGCACCACUACCAGAUGGACCUGCGUUGUAUUAGCUAGUUGGUGAGGUAACGGCUCACCAAGGCAACGAUACAUAGCCGACCUGAGAGGGUGAUCGGCCACACUGGGACUGAGACACGGCCCAGACUCCUACGGGAGGCAGCAGUAGGGAAUCUUCGGCAAUGGACGGAAGUCUGACCGAGCAACGCCGCGUGAGUGAAGAAGGUUUUCGGAUCGUAAAGCUCUGUUGUAAGAGAAGAACGAGUGUGAGAGUGGAAAGUUCACACUGUGACGGUAUCUUACCAGAAAGGGACGGCUAACUACGUG